GAUAUGUCAGCCCUGCGAUGAACUGGCGACUCGUCCAGGGUGUACCCCUCCAUCGCCCGUAAGUAGCUUGGUUAGGUUCCAGCGACCCCCAUGACCCUAGUGAGGAUAAAGCAGGUUCAGAUAACAAAUGAAUGAAU